rnacentral:rRNA from 1 species
AUUGAACGCUGGCGGCAUGCUUUACACAUGCAAGUCGAACGGUAACAGGCCUUCGGGUGCUGACGAGUGGCGAACGGGUGAGUAAUGCAUCGGAACGUACCCAGAGGUGGGGGAUAACGCAGCGAAAGCUGUGCUAAUACUGCAUGUGAUCUGAGGAUGAAAGCGGGGGACCGAGCAGCAAUGUUUGGCCUCGCGCCUUUGUAGCGGCCGAUGUCGGAUUAGCUAGUUGGUGGGGUAAAGGCCUACCAAGGCGACGAUCCGUAGCUGGUCUGAGAGGACGACCAGCCACACUGGAACUGAGACACGGCCCAGACUCCUACGGGAGGCAGCAGUGGGGAAUUUUGGACAAUGGGCGCAAGCCUGAUCCAGCAAUGCCGCGUGCGGGAAGAAGGCCUUCGGAUUGUAAACCGCUUUUAGCAGGAAAGAAAAGGUGUACGAUAAUACCGGGCGGUAAUGACGGUACCUACAGAAUAAGCACCGGCUAACUACGUG